ACACCUGUGAGAACGCUCUCCCACCUGUAAAGGAGGAAGGGGUUGAUAUCAGGCACAAUAUUUAGCCCAAGACAUCUAGCCACGCCACACCCACAAGGGUACUCAGCAGUGAUUAACUUUUUUAAUAAACGUCAGUUUGAUUUAGUCAAUGAAAAUGGAGCCGGCCAACCUGGUGCCAGCCGCCGCGGUUACACCAUGGGGCUCAAAUUGAUUUUUUUCGGCGUAAAGCGUGAUUAAAGAAAUAUGCUCAUUAAGGUUAAAUUUUAACUAAACUGUUUAACGUUUGUUAUAAUCAAACUCAUACUCGAAAGAUACCUUAACUAACCAGCUUAAACUCACGACAACUGGGAUACAAACUGGGAUUAGAUACCCCAUUAUGCUCAGUUAUAAACUUUAACUUACACACCCACUCGCCAGGGAACUACGAGCAAAGCUUGAAACCCAAAGGACUUGACGGUGCCCCAUAUCCCCCUAGAGGAGCCUGUCCCAUAAUCGAUGAUCCCCGCUAUACCCUACCACCCCUAGGAAUCAGUUUGUAUACUUCCGUCGACAGCUUACCGUGUGAACGUAAGUAAGCCUAAUGGUUUCCCACCAAUACGUCAGGUCAAAGUGCAGCUCAUGAGGUGGAGAAAGAUGGGCUACACUUUCUACUAUAGAAGAUACGAAAGUCUAUAUGAAACUCUAUUCUGAAGGCGGAUUUAGUAGUAAAAAGGAAAUAGCAUACCCUUUUUAAAUCGCACUGGAGCGUGUACACACCGCCCGUCACCCUCUUCAACAAAUCAUCCUAGUUCUUAACAUAAUAAAUACACAAGAAGAGGUAAGUCGUAACAUGGUAAGUGUACCGGAAGGUGCACUUGGAAG
rnacentral:ncRNA from 1 species